rnacentral:rRNA from 1 species
AUUGAACGCUGGCGGCAUGCCUUACACAUGCAAGUCGAACGGUAACGGGCCUUCGGGUGCCGACGAGUGGCGAACGGGUGAGUAAUGUAUCGGAACGUACCUUUCAGUGGGGGAUAACGUAGCGAAAGUUCCGCUAAUACCGCAUAUUAUGUGUGCAGGAAAGCAGGGGAUCGCAAGACCCUGCGAUGAUUGAGCGGCCGAUAUCAGAUUGGCUAGUUGGUGAGGUAAAGACUCACCAAGGCGACGAUCUGUAGCGGGUCUGAGAGGAUGAUCCUCCACACUGGAACUGAGACACGGUCCAGACUCCUACGGGAGGCAGCAGUGGGGAAUUUUGGACAAUGGGGGCAACCCUGAUCCAGCCAUGCCGCGUGAGUGAAGAAGGCCUUCGGGUUGUAAAGCUCUUUCGGCCGGGAAGAAAUCGUAUCAGCUAAUACCUGGUGCGGAUGACGGUACCGGCAUAAGAAGCACCGGCUAACUACGUGCCAGCCGCCGCGGUAAUAC